UACGUAGGGGGCAAGCGUUGUCCGGAUUUAUUGGGCGUAAAGAGCGUGUAGGCGGUUCGGUAGGUCCGUUGUGAAAACUCGAGGCUCAACCUCGAGACGCCGAUGGAAACCAUCGAACUAGAGUCCGGAAGAGGAGAGUGGAAUUCCCGGUGUAGCGGUGAAAUGCGCAGAUAUCGGGAAGAACACCCGUGGCGAAGGCGGCUCUCUGGGACGGUACUGACGCUGAGACGCGAAAGCGUGGGGAGCGAACAGG
rnacentral:rRNA from 1 species